rnacentral:rRNA from 1 species
GCAGGAUGAAGGCCUUCGGGUUGUAAACUGCUUUUGUACGGAACGAAAAGGCUUUCUCUAAUAAAGGGAGCUCAUGACGGUACCGUAAGAAUAAGCACCGGCUAACUACGUGCCAGCAGCCGCGGUAAUACGUAGGGUGCAAGCGUUAAUCGGAAUUACUGGGCGUAAAGCGUGCGCAGGCGGUGAUGUAAGACAGUUGUGAAAUCCCCGGGCUCAACCUGGGAACUGCAUCUGUGACUGCAUCGCUGGAGUGCGGCAGAGGGGGAUGGAAUUCCGCGUGUAGCAGUGAAAUGCGUAGAUAUGCGGAGGAACACCGAUGGCGAAGGCAAUCCCCUGGGCCUGCACUGACGCUCAUGCACGAAAGCGUGGGGAGCAAACAGGAUUAGAUACCCUGGUAGUCCACGCCGUAAACGAUGGAUGCUAGCCGUUGGCAGGCUUGCCUGUCAGUGGCGCAGCUAACGCAUUAAGCAUCCCGCCUGGGGAGUACGGUCGCAAGAUUA